rnacentral:rRNA from 1 species
UGGGGAAUAUUGCACAAUGGGCGCAAGCCUGAUGCAGCCAUGCCGCGUGUAUGAAGAAGGCCUUCGGGUUGUAAAGUACUUUCAGCGGGGAGGAAGGGAGUAAAGUUAAUACCUUUGCUCAUUGACGUUACCCGCAGAAGAAGCACCGGCUAACUCCGUGCCAGCAGCCGCGGUAAUACGGAGGGUGCAAGCGUUAAUCGGAAUUACUGGGCGUAAAGCGCACGCAGGCGGUUUGUUAAGUCAGAUGUGAAAUCCCCGGGCUCAACCUGGGAACUGCAUCUAAUACUGGCAAGCUUGAGUCUCGUAGAGGGGGGUAGAAUUCCAGGUGUAGCGGUGAAAUGCGUAGAGAUCUGGAGGAAUACCGGUGGCGAAGGCGGCCCCCUGGACGAAGACUGACGCUCAGGUGCGAAAGCGUGGGGAGCAAACAGG